GAUGAACGCUGGCGGCGUGCCUAAUACAUGCAAGUCGAGCGAACAGAUAAGGAGCUUGCUCCUUUGACGUUAGCGGCGGACGGGUGAGUUACACGUGGAUAACCUACCUAUAAGACUGGGAUAACUUCGGGAAGCCGGAGCUAAUACCGGAUAACAUAUUGAACCGCAUGGUUCAAUAGUGAAAGGCGGCUUUGCUGUCACUUAUAGAUGGAUCCGCGCCGUAUUAGCUAGUUGGUAAGGUAACGGCUUACCAAGGCAACGAUACGUAGCCGACCUGAGAGGGUGAUCGGCCACACUGGAACUGAGACACGGUCCAGACUCCUACGGGAGGCAGCAGUAGGGAAUCUUCCGCAAUGGGCGAAAGCCUGACGGAGCAACGCCGCGUGAGUGAUGAAGGUCUUCGGAUCGUAAAACUCUGUUAUCAGGGAAGAACAAAUGUGUAAGUAACUGUGCACAUCUUGACGGUACCUGAUCAGAAAGCCACGGCUAACUACGUG
rnacentral:rRNA from 1 species